GGCUCGUUGGUCUAGGGGUAUGAUUCUCGUUGGCUUAGGGGGGCUUAGGGAGAGGUCCCGGUUCAAAUCCCGGACGAGCCC
rnacentral:tRNA from 1 species